CCGCGAUUCGCCCUUCGGGGUGCCCAGGCGCGAAAACUCCACACUGUACGACAGUACGAUGGGGUUAUCUCGAGUGCAGUCCGAUAAGGGCUGCUUUUCCAUAGAGUAAUAUCCUGUGGAAUAAGAGGGGGGCAAGACUGGUGUCAGCCGCCGCGGUAACACCAGCCCCUCGAGUGGUGGGGACUAUUAUUUGGUCUAAAGCGUCCGUAGCUGGCUGUAUCCGUCCCCCGUUAAAUCCAGCGUCCUAAACGUUGGACUGCGGGUGAUACCAUACAGCUAGAGGGUGGGAUAGGUGAGCGGUAUUUCUGGGGUAGGGGCGAAAUCCUUUGAUCCCAGGAGGACCACCAGUGGCGAAGGCUGCUCACUAGAACACGCCUGACGGUCAGGGACGAAAGCUGGGGCAGCGAACCGGAUUAGAUACCCGGGUAGUCCCAGCUGUAAACGAUGCUAGCUAGGUGUUGGGUCAGCCACGCGCCGCCCCAGUGCCGCAGGGAAGCCGUUAAGCUAGCCACCUGGGGAGUACGGCCGCAAGGCUGAAACUUAAAGGAAUUGGCGGGGGAGCAC
rnacentral:rRNA from 1 species